UGGCGGCGUGCCUAAGACAUGCAAGUCGAACGAGAAAGCCACCUUCGGGUGGCGAGUACAGUGGCGCACGGGUGAGUAACGCGUGGGUAAUCUGCCCUCGGGUCUGGGAUAACCCCGGGAAACUGGAGCUAAUACCGGAUGAGACCACGAGUACUUCGGUGCUCGCGGGAAAAGGUGGCCUCUCGACGAAGCCACUGCCUGAGGAUGAGCCUGCGUCGCAUUAGCUAGUUGGUGGGGUAACGGCCUACCAAGGCGACGAUGCGUAGCUGGUCUGAGAGGACGACCAGCCACACUGGAACUGAGACACGGUCCAGACUCCUACGGGAGGCAGCAGUCGGGAAUUUUGGGCAAUGGGGGAAACCCUGACCCAGCAACGCCGCGUGAGGGAUGAAGGCCUUCGGGUCGUAAACCUCUGUCGAGAGGGAAGAAUGACCUCUGGUCGAACAGGCCAGGGGUUUGACGGUACCUCCAAAGGAAGCACCGGCUAACUCCGUGCCGGCAGCCGCGGUAAUACGGAGGGUGC
rnacentral:rRNA from 1 species